rnacentral:lncRNA from 1 species
AGAGAAGGAUGCCCCAAACGACAAUGAACAUCAAAAGGUGUUAAACGCAUGGAGCAUACCAGAGAUCGAGGAGAUCGAGGUAGUUGCUGAUCCAAGACGUAAAGACCCUCUGACUCACUCCCUCUACCAAUAAUCUGCUUCGUCGAAAGAUCCUGAAAAACACAGUGAUCAGGAAAGAAUGAGACACAACAAUUCAAUGCACGAGUGAGUUUACU